rnacentral:rRNA from 1 species
CCUACGGGGCGCAGCAGUGGGGAAUAUUGGACAAUGGGGGCAACCCUGAUCCAGCCAUGCCGCGUGUGUGAAGAAGGCCCUCGGGUUGUAAAGCACUUUCAGUGAGGAAGAACGCCUGGUGGUUAAUACCCAUCAGGAAAGACAUCACUCACAGAAGAAGCACCGGCUAACUCCGUGCCAGCAGCCGCGGUAAUACGGAGGGUGCGAGCGUUAAUCGGAAUUACUGGGCGUAAAGCGCGCGUAGGUGGCUUGAUAAGCCGGUUGUGAAAGCCCCGGGCUCAACCUGGGAACGGCAUCCGGAACUGUCAAGCUAGAGUGCAGGAGAGGAAGGUAGAAUUCCCGGUGUAGCGGUGAAAUGCGUAGAGAUCGGGAGGAAUACCAGUGGCGAAGGCGGCCUUCUGGACUGACACUGACACUGAGGUGCGAAAGCGUGGGUAGCAAACAGGAUUAGAUACCCUAGUAGUC